rnacentral:tRNA from 1 species
GCCCGUUUAGCUCAGCUGGGAGAGCACCUGACUCUUAAUCAGGGUGUCCAGGGUUCGAACCCCUGAACGGGUACCA